ACUCAUUUGAAGUCGUGUUUAGCUGCUCUACUCGUGAGGUAAACGUGUCGCUUUCACUGCUAAACGCUCCACUGUGAAGGCGGCUAACUUUGUCUUACUGCCACUGAGCGCUGGCCAGAUGUUGAGAAUUGAGCUUGAGCCGAACUGUGCACGAUGGAGGCAGACUGAAAGUGCUCAGAGAAGAACACGAUUUCUUUGGCUUGAUGGAAAAUCCAGCUGGGCGGGAGAUUGAAGGCACAGUGAAGUUGCACGUCUGAGCUUUGCUGGAGAUUCUCAAAAAGAAAAAAAAAACCCAACUGACCACUUUAAUUGAAGAGCUUGUGUGGGAUGAAAUGUGUGAAUGUCACUGUGUGGUCACCUCGUGAGGGAGUGGAAGUUCAAGAGGUGUCUGAGAGCUUCUGUCAUAAAUAGUAACAUCACCAUCACCAAGUGUCCAAUUCAAUCCAACUUUGCUUCCACACAGAGAAUUGUGAUUUGUCAAUAAUAUUGUUGUCUAUGUUAAUCUAAUUUGGACAUAAUCCAAAUUCAAAAAUACAUAUUACCUUUGCUUUUAUUUAUCUACAUUAUUAUUUGUCAUCUCCACGCUCCCCCCCCCAACGCUCCAUGAAACAACAAAGCAGAAGAAAAGAGGACACAAUGAAAUAAGGCAAAGUUUAAAAAAUAAAGCAGAUGUUGGAUCGGACGAGGAUGGUGUGUCACCAUUGUUUGACAGACGGCAUGUGAGUGGGAACACGUCGAACAAGCUAACGCUUAUCGGGUGGCAUCACCCAGAUGUGUCAAUCACCAGGAGUCCCACAGACUUCUCCCUGCUGUUUGUUCAGCUGCCUCGGGAUGUGAACGCAGACAGGGUCAGAGACGAGGAGUGAAGCAUUUGGCUUUUACUUCACAUUUUCAUUUGUUUUUCAUCAGCACUGCAAAAAAAUAUGACUGAUGUGAGAGUUUAUGUUGUUUACACUUCUGCGCUCCCAGACCUAACGCGCUUCCUUGAGGUCACCUUUAAAUGCAAUUUAUUUGCGUUUCUAACUUGGAAUUUAUUUUGCUAUUUCUUUUUUCUUUGAAAUGCAAUUUAAAAAAUGCUCCUAAUGUGUUUUCUUUUUUAUCCAUUUCGAUGAAUUGAAUUGCCUUGAAUUAAUG